UACAGAGACUGCAAGCGUUAUUCGGAUUCACUGGGCGUAAAGGGUGCGCAGGCGGCCAAGUGUGUGAGGCGUGAAAGCCCGGGGCUUAACUCCGGAAUUGCACCUCAAACUACAUGGCUAGAGCAUUGGAGAGGGUAGCAGAAUUCACGGUGUAGCAGUGAAAUGCGUAGAUAUCGUGGGGAAUACCAGAGGCGAAGGCGGCUACCUGGACAAUUGCUGACGCUCAGGCACGAAAGCGUGGGGAGCAAAAGGG
rnacentral:rRNA from 1 species